rnacentral:rRNA from 1 species
GUCGGUGAGUAUGUCGUGGGCGGUUGCCUCGGACUCGGGGCUAUCCGCUGCUGGACGGGGCCAGGCUCGGAUGCGGCUGGCUGCCCUCCGGUGGGGGUUGGAAAGAUUUUUUGGUCUGGGAUGGGCUCGCGGCCUAUCAGCUUGUUGGUGAGGUAAUGGCUCACCAAGGCGUCGACGGGUAGCCGGCCUGAGAGGGUGACCGGCCACACUGGGACUGAGACACGGCCCAGACUCCUACGGGAGGCAGCAGUGGGGAAUAUUGCACAAUGGGCGGAAGCCUGAUGCAGCAACGCCGCGUGAGGGACGACGGCCUUCGGGUUGUAAACCUCUUUUAGCAAGGAAGAAGCGAAAGUGACGGUACUUGCAGAAAAAGCGCCGGCUAACUACGUGCCAGCAGCCGCGGUAAUACGUAGGGCGCAAGCGUUAUCCGGAAUUAUUGGGCGUAAAGAGCUCGUAGGCGGUUUGUCGCGUCUGCUGUGAAAUCCCGAGGCUCAACCUCGGGUCUGCAGUGGGUACGGGCAGACUAGAGUGCGGUAGGGGAGAUUGGAAUUCCUGGUGUAGCGGUGGAAUGCGCAGAUAUCAGGAGGAACACCGAUGGCGAAGGCAGAUCUCUGGGCCGUAACUGACGCUGAGGAGCGAAAGGGUGGGGAGCAAACAGGCUUAGAUACCCUGGUAGUCCACCCCGUAAACGUUGGGAACUAGUUGUGGGGUCCAUUCCACGGAUUCCGUGACGCAGCUAACGCAUUAAGUUCCCCGCCUGGGGAGUACGGCCGCAAGGCUAAAACUCAAAGGAAUUGACGGGGACCCGCACAAGCGGCGGAGCAUGCGGAUUAAUUCGAUGCAACGCGAAGAACCUUACCAAGGCUUGACAUACACGAGAACGCCGCAGAAAUGUGGAACUCUUUGGACACUCGUGAACAGGUGGUGCAUGGUUGUCGUCAGCUCGUGUCGUGAGAUGUUGGG